CCCCUCUCGGAGUCGCAGCUGGGGAGUUUCCAGUUCUCUACCAGUCUCGACUACGGGAGGGAGAGUCAAGCAGAAGCAUUUCCAUUACUAGCUUGGGCAGUGGCUAGCGAGUGGAAGGCAAUCUGCUACAAGU